GGCGCAUGCACAGAUAACUGCCGCCACUGCUCACUGUCGCUCACAAUGGCCCACACACAGGCUGCGUGUGUGUGUGUGUAUCGGCUCAGGUAGAGCUUGUUGGGCUCAUGUGGAGUGAUGUGUGUAUGUUCAGUUAGGAGACGCCGUGUGCGUGCACGUGUGUUGCUGAGGACCCACGGAAGUGCAGUGUCCAGUUAAAGGGCAUGGAGUCAUAAAGGGCACGGUUGAUUGUAAUAACUAUGUUGUUGAUAUUGGCACUGUGUUUUGCUUACAUGCCAUAAUUAAUGAAAAGAUUAUUUAAGAAAAUGAA